rnacentral:rRNA from 1 species
CCUACGGGAGGCAGCAGUGGGGAAUAUUGCACAAUGGGGGAAACCCUGAUGCAGCAACGCCGCGUGAGCGAUGAAGGCCUUCGGGUCGUAAAGCUCUGUCCUAAGGGAAGAAUACUGACGGUACCUUAGGAGGAAGCCCCGGCUAACUACGUGCCAGCAGCCGCGUUAAUACGUAGGGGGCUAGCGUUAUCCGGAAUUACUGGGCGUAAAGGGUGCGUAGGCGGCCCUUCAAGUCAGAGGUGAAAGGCUACGGCUUAACCGUAGUAAGCCUUUGAAACUGUAGGGCUUGAGUGCAGGAGAGGAGAGUGGGAUUCCCAGUGUAGCGGUGAAAUGCGGAGAUAUUGGGAGGAACACCAGUUGCGAAGGCGGCUCUGCGGACGGUGACUGACGCUGAGGCACGAAAGCGUGGGGAGCGAACAGGAUUAGAUGCGGUUGUAGUU